GACGAACGCUGGCGGCGUGCCUAAUACAUGCAAGUAGAACGCACAGUUUAUACCGUAGCUUGCUACACCAUAGACUGUGAGUUGCGAACGGGUGAGUAACGCGUAGGUAACCUGCCUGGUAGCGGGGGAUAACUAUUGGAAACGAUAGCUAAUACCGCAUAAUAUUAAUUAUUGCAUGAUAAUUGAUUGAAAGAUGCAACUGCAUCACUACCAGAUGGACCUGCGUUGUAUUAGCUAGUAGGUGAGGUAACGGCUCACCUAGGCGACGAUACAUAGCCGAACUGGGAGGGGGAUCGGCCACACUGGGACUGAGACACGGCCCAGACUCCUACGGGAGGCAGCAGUAGGGAAUCUUCGGCAAUGGACGAAAGUCUGACCGAGCAACGCCGCGUGAGUGAAGAAGGUUUUCGGAUCGUAAAGCUCUGUUGUAAGAGAAGAACGGGUGUGAGAGUGGAAAGUUCACACUGUGACGGUAUCUUACCAGAAAGGGACGGCUAACUACGUG
rnacentral:rRNA from 1 species